rnacentral:lncRNA from 1 species
GCCCUAAUUGACCUUUCCCUUGAAAAUCGAUAAAGCGAAGGUUUGUUUUGUCAACAUGAUCCCAUGGUAAUGCUCAUGUUUUUCUAAUGUUGUCUCGUGCUCAUCAACCCAAAAUGCAUACAUGUAAUACCAAUAUUGAAAUAUAAAUAUAAAAACAUAUCCACAUUUUGGUUAUUAUGGGUGGGAGAGGGAGGAACUUAUCAAGAACCUCAUCAACCCAAACAGGCAAAUUGUAUUGCCUGACCAAACAUAGCCCUUAAACCAACCACCACUUGGAUAUUGAAAGAAUGAGGAUGUAUCACAUGUACUUCCGCCAAAGAUAUCAACCAAUGAGGUUAUACACAUAUCCUCAGUGAUUGAUAUAAUCUUGCAUCCAGUUCAUGUUAAGUUAUGGGCAUAGAAAACUCUAUAGUCCAUACAGCAUAUUUGCAGGCCAAUCUCAAAAUACACCACUAGCAAGGC